rnacentral:lncRNA from 1 species
GCCAGCACCUGUGUUCAUGUCCCCAGCGUGGCUGCUUACUUGGCUUCUUGUGCCUCUGUUUCUCCAUCUGUACCGACCUCAUCUCAAGCUGUUAGACGGUGCCUGGCACCAGAUGGUGUCAGACCCUUCGAUGGGAAGCGGCAUGAAGAGUCACAGACUUUUCUGGAAGGACAAGAACACCCCCACUCCAGCUCAAUAAAAAGAGAGGAGAAGAUCACUUGCUAUGACAAAUAUGCUGUGAACGUGCAUCCUGAGAUGCUUACAGGUCACUCCAGAGCGGGCAGCCGAGGGACUCGGGUGAGAAGUACAUGUUCCCAAAGACAGGAGCUGUGUUUUGGGCAGUCUUUGCUGGAACACGGCAUUCUGGAUUUUUGUCCAAACAAGUCACAUGGAGCCACUCUCAGAUGGCCAGGUACAGCUAACUGAGCGACUGUUACUAAAAGUAGCAUCUCUGGGAAGCUCCGAAUCAGAGCCAAGAAAACAAUCCAGAGUCAGAUCACCAUUUGGAAGAAGACUCAGCUGACCAGGCACAAAGCCCAGUUAAACUGGUGAGCUGGGAAGUUGAGGAGUGGAUUCAAGACCAGCUUGUCUCCCCAACCCCCACCUGCCAUACUGGGAUAUUAAAUGUAAAAAUACAAUGUGGCUUCCAUUCCAAUCCAAAGGGACAUCC